GCCCCUUGUGAGCAUUGCCCAGCGCAACCCAAAGCGGCUUACAACCAACCAGACAGAUUCCACCCACGAGUGGGUCCAACAGGCAAGAAGGCAGUUUUUGCAAGUGCUGCAGAGAGAAGUGAAGGGCAGAUGGAGCUCAUCCCAUCGCCCAGCUGUGAGUGGUGAAGGCUGCUCCCUGCAAGGCCCUUUCCACCUGGCCUGGGGUGGGGCCCAGACUCACCAGCCCCACUGAAGAGGCUCCUCAUGAGGCUGGAGGAACAUCACUAUGCCUGGCAACAAAUCCCACUUAUUGGAUUCUUCUGCCCCAUCUUUUUGUGCCUGCCAAACAGCCGUGUCAUGCUUAUAAUAUUUUAUUCUCUUGUUAACUAUGCUGUUUUAAAUGUGCAUUUUAUAUUUGACUUCACUUAGCAAUGUUUUCUUUUGAAAUGGUUAAGGUUUUGUUUUUUGUUAACUUUGUGUUAAAUAUGUAUUCUGUAGUUGACCUGCUUUGUAAUGUUUUAUUUUGAAAUCUUUGAGAUGGUA